GCAUUCCUGGGGUGUUCGACAAGAAUCCGUAUUUUGAACCUACAGCUCAAAAAAGGGACUCCAAGUUGAUACGAAUGCAAAAUCAGGCCGCAACCUAAUUCCGUCCGUUUUCCAAACAGGAAGACACGGCAGCGGAAGAUUGCACAUUCGCAUAGGAUACCCACCUAUCUAUAUGAUAGGUGUCAAAAGCCGGAGGCGGCAUUUUGGGAAUGAC
rnacentral:other from 1 species